rnacentral:rRNA from 1 species
CUGGCAAGCUUGAGUCUCGUAGAGGGGGGUAGAAUUCCAGGCGUAGCGGUGAAAUGCGUAGAGAUCUGGAGGAAUACCGGUGGCGAAGGCGGCCCCCUGGACGAAGACUGACGCCCAGGUGCGAAAGCGUGGGGAGCAAACAGGAUUAGAUACCCUGGUAGUCCACGCAGUAAACGAUGAUUACUAGGAGUUUGCGAUAAAAUGUAAGCUCUACAGCGAAAGCGUUAAGUAAUCCACCUGGGGAGUACGUCGGCAACGGUGAAACUCAAAGGAAUUGACGGGGGCCCGCACAAGCGGAGGAACAUGUGGUUUAAUUCGAUGAUACGCGAGGAACCUUACCCGGGCUUAAAUUGCAGAGGAAUAAUCUGGAAACAGAUUAGUCUUCGGACUUCUGUGAAGGUGCUGCAUGGUUGUCGUCAGCUCGUGCCGUGAGGUGUCGGCUUAAGUGCCAUAACGAGCGCAACCCUUGUGGUCAGUUACUAACAGGUAAUGCUGAGGACUCUGGCCAGACUGCCAUCGUAAGAUGUGAGGAAGGCGGGGAUGACGUCAAAUCAGCACGGCCCUUACGUCCGGGGCUACACACGUGUUACAAUGGGAGGUACAGAAGGCUGCGACCCGGCGACGGGCAGCUAAUCCCAAAAGCCUCUCUCAGUUCGGACUGGAGUCUGCAACCCGACUCCACGAAGCUGGAUUCGCUAGUAAUCGCGCAUCAGCCACGGCGCGGUGAAUACGUUCCCGGGCCUUGUACACACCGCCCGUCAAGCCAUGGGAGUCCGGGGUGCCUGAAGUCCGCGACCGAGAGGCGCGGCCAAGGGCAAUACGGAUGACUGGGGCUAAGUCGUAACAAGGUAACCA